rnacentral:rRNA from 1 species
CAUGGCCUACGGGGGGCAGCAGUGGGGAAUAUUGCACAAUGGGGGAAACCCUGAUGCAGCGACGCCACGUGAGUGAAGAAGUAUUUCGGUAUGUAAAGCUCUAUCAGCAGGGAAGAAAAUGACGGUACCUGACUAAGAAGCCCCGGUUGACUACGUGCCAGCAGCCGCGGUAAUACGUAGGGGGCAAGCGUUAUCCGGAUUUACUGGGUGUAAAGGGAGCGUAGACGGCGCGGCAAGUCUGAAGUGAAAGGCAGGGACUUAACCCCUGAACUGCUUUGGAAACUGCCAUGCUAGAGUGCUGGAGG